GACAGAGGGUGCAAACGUUGUUCGGAAUUACUGGGCAUAAAGGGCGCGUAGGUGGUUCGCUUAGUCACGUGUGAAAUCCCCCGGCUCAACCGGGGAAUGGCGCGUGAUACUGGCGGACUCGAGGCGGGUAGGGGUGAGCGGAACUCCAGGUGGAGCGGUGAAAUGCGUAGAUAUCUGGAGGAACACCGGUGGCGAAAGCGGCUCACUGGACCCGAUCUGACACUGAUGCGCGAAAGCUAGGGUAGCAAACGGG
rnacentral:rRNA from 1 species